GACGAACGCUGGCGGCGUGCUUAACACAUGCAAGUCGAACGGAAAGGCCCUGCUUUUGUGGGGUGCUCGAGUGGCGAACGGGUGAGUAACACGUGAGUAACCUGCCCCUGACUUUGGGAUAACUUCAGGAAACUGGGGCUCAUACCGGAUAGGAGCUCCUGCUGCAUGGUGGUGGUUGGAAAGUUUCGGCGGUUGGGGAUGGACUCGCGGCUUAUCAGCUGGUUGGUGGGGUAGUGGCUUACCAAGGCUUUGACGGGUAGCCGGCCUGAGAGGGUGACCGGGCACAUUGGGACUGAGAUACGGCCCAGACUCCUACGGGAGGCAGCAGUGGGGAAUAUUGCACAAUGGGCGGAAGCCUGAUGCAGCAACGCCGCGUGCGGGAUGACGGCCUUCGGGUGGUAAACCGCUUUCGCCUGUGACGAAGCGUGAGUGACGGUAAUGGGUAAAGAAGCACCGGCUAACUACGUG
rnacentral:rRNA from 1 species